GUGCUUGCUUCGGCAGCACAUAUACUAAAAUUGGAACCAUAUAGAGAAGAUUUAGCAUGGCCCCUGCACAAGGAUGACAUGCAAAUUCGUGAAGUUUUUGUAAACUUU
ensembl:snRNA U6 U6 spliceosomal RNA